UACGUAGGUGGCGAGCGUUGUCCGGAUUUACUGGGCGUAAAGGGAGCGUAGGCGGAUUUUUAAGUGAGAUGUGAAAUACUCGGGCUCAACUUGAGUGCUGCAUUUCAAACUGGAAGUCUAGAGUGCAGGAGAGGGGAAUGGAAUUCCUAGUGUAGCGGUGAAAUGCGUAGAGAUUAGGAAGAACACCAGUGGCGAAGGCGAUUCUCUGGACUGUAACUGACGCUGAGGCUCGAAAGCGUGGGGAGCAAACAGG
rnacentral:rRNA from 1 species